rnacentral:rRNA from 1 species
GACGAACGCUGGCGGCGUGCUUAACACAUGCCAGUCGAACGGAAAGGCCCUGCUUGCCGGGUACUCGAGUGGCGAACGGGUGAGUAACACGUGGGUGAUCUGCCCUGCACUUCGGGAUAAGCCUGGGAAACUGGGUCUAAUACCGGAUAGGAGCCAUUUUUAGUGUGAUGGUUGGAAAGUUUUUUCGGUGUAGGAUGAGCUCGCGGCCUAUCAGCUUGUUGGUGGGGUAAUGGCCUAUCAAGACGGCGACGGGUAGCCGGCCUGAGAGGGUGGACGGCCACAUUGGGACUGAGAUACGGCCCAGACUCCUACGGGAGGCAGCAGUGGGGAAUAUUGCACAAUGGGCGCAAGCCUGAUGCAGCGACGCCGCGUGGGGGAUGACGGCCUUCGGGUUGUAAACUCCUUUCGCUAGGGACGAAGCUUUUUGUGACGGUACCUAGAUAAGAAGCACCGGCUAACUACGUG